CCUACGGGAGGCAGCAGUGAGGAAUAUUGGUCAAUGGCCGUAAGGCUGAACCAGCCAAGUCGCGUGAAGGAAGAAGGAUCUAUGGUUUGUAAACUUCUUUUAUAGGGGAAUAAAGGUAUCCACGUGUGGAUAUUUGCAUGUACCCUAUGAAUAAGCAUCGGCUAACUCCGUGCCAGCAGCCGCGGUAAUACGUAGGAUGCGAGCGUUAUCCGGAUUUAUUGUGUUUAAAGGGUGCGUAGGUUGUUUUUUAAGUCAGCGGUGAAAGUUUGUGGCUCAACCAUAAAAUUGCCGUUGAAACUGGAAGAAGUGAGUGGGUUUGAGGGAGGGGGAAUGGGUGGUGUAGCGGUGAAAUGCAUAGAUAUCACGCAGAACUCCGAUUGCGAAGGCAGCUUACCAAGGCAUAACCGACACUGAAGCACGAAAGCGUGGGGAUUAAACAGGAUUAGAUACCCCAGUAGUC
rnacentral:rRNA from 1 species